GAUGCCCAAUAGAUCGUUCGGCGUCGUUUCGGACUUUCCUUCCGUAAAGCGAGGACAACCGCCAUACGGAGCAGCGAGAGAGAGAGAGAGAGAGAGGGAGAGAUGAAGGCGGUGCCGGUGGAUUACUUGGCCGAGCUGACGGAGCAGGAGUCGGUGAUGGCGAUGGACGUGGACGACGUCGAGGCUCUGGAGAUCUUCGGCGAAGGCGGUCCCCUCGAUGUCAACAAGCUCGCCGACGCCGACUUCUUCAACUCCUUUCAAGACGACUUCGACGACUCCGACAUCAACUAGAACACAGAAGAGGAAGACAAUGCAUCUUUUCUAUUUCUGCUGUUUUCUAUUUUUAUGCAGGUCCAUAUGAUGAGCAGCUUGAUGAGGGCAGGUUUCAGGUAGAAACUCAAAGCAAAAUGGUGGAGAAUUGUUAUUCAAGUUUUGCAUUGAGUGUCUGGAAAGUUUAGAAGGACUUGGGCAUCCUUUUGUGGAUUAUGUGCGGCUGUGGCAGUUAGGGAAAUUAGGCUAAUUGUAUAUUAUAUUAAGUAAGGGUAGUAAAGGAAAUGUCCCGGUUAUAUCAUUCCUUGUAACUCACGCCCUUGUGUCUAUAAAUAAGAGGCGUGGGGUAAUUUGUUGGAUACUUGUGAUUGAUCAUUCUCAUUGAUAGUUUCCGAAAACUGUAUUGUAGGAGAAAGCCUAGAAAGAUAGCCUUGUAAUCUUGCAGUGAGAGUUCUUGUGUAUCAGUGAGGGAAGAGGGAUUGUGCAAGUGUGAUUCUUGUACUGUUUUUCAUCAAGUUCUAGUGGAUUGCUCUCUUUGAAAGCGGCUGGAUGUAGGACUGAUUAUAUCAGUUCGAAUCAGGA